rnacentral:rRNA from 1 species
AACGAACGCUGGCGGCAGGCCUAACACAUGCAAGUCGAGCGAAGCCUUCGGGCUUAGCGGCGGACGGGUGAGUAACGCGUGGGAACGUGCCCUUUGGUACGGAAUAGCCCCGGGAAACUGGGAGUAAUACCGUAUGUGGUCGAGAGACGAAAGAUUUAUCGCCAAAGGAUCGGCCCGCGUUGGAUUAGGUAGUUGGUGGGGUAAUGGCCUACCAAGCCGACGAUCCAUAGCUGGGUUGAGAGGAUGAUCAGCCACACUGGGACUGAGACACGGCCCAGACUCCUACGGGAGGCAGCAGUGGGGAAUCCUAGACAAUGGGGGAAACCCUGAUCUAGCCAUGCCGCGUGAUCGAUGAAGGCCUUAGGGUUGUAAAGAUCUUUCAGUGGGGAAGAUAAUGACUGUACCCACAGAAGAAGCCCCGGCUAACUCCGUGCCAGCCGCCGCGGUAACAC